UAUCAAUAUCCUUCUGAAGAUACGGUCUCCAGUACUGUGUACAAUACUCCAAGUGAGGUCUCACCAGUGUUCUGUACAAUGGCAUGAGCACUUCCCUCUUUCUACUGCUAAUACCUCUCCCUAUACAACCAAGCAUUCUGCUAGCAUUUCCUGCUGCUCCAUUACAUUGUCUGCCUACCUUUAAGUCAUCAGAAAUAAUCACCCCUAAAUCCCUUUCCUCAUAUGUUGAGGUUAGGACUCUAUCAAAUAUUCUGUACUCUGCCC